rnacentral:rRNA from 1 species
GAUGAACGCUGGCGGCGUGCCUAAUACAUGCAAGUCGAGCGAAUGGAUUAAGAGCUUGCUCUUAUGAAGUUAGCGGCGGACGGGUGAGUAACGCGUGGGUAACCUGCCCAUAAGACUGGGAUAACUCCGGGAAACCGGGGCUAAUACCGGAUAACAUCUUGAACCGCAUGGUUCGAAAUUGAAAGGCGGCUUCGGCUGUCACUUAUGGAUGGACCCGCGUCGCAUUAGCUAGUUGGUGAGGUAACGGCUCACCAAGGCAACGAUGCGUAGCCGACCUGAGAGGGUGAUCGGCCACACUGGGACUGAGACACGGCCCAGACUCCUACGGGAGGCAGCAGUAGGGAAUCUUCCGCAAUGGACGAAAGUCUGACGGAGCAACGCCGCGUGAGUGAUGAAGGCUUUCGGGUCGUAAAACUCUGUUGUUAGGGAAGAACAAGUGCUAGUUGAAUAAGCUGGCACCUUGACGGUACCUAACCAGAAAGCCACGGCUAACUACGUGCCAGCCGCCGCGGUAA